GGAUCCAGACUUUGAUCCUGGCUCAUGAUGAACGCUAGCGGCAGGCUUAACACAUGCAAGUCGAGGGGCAGCGCGGGGCAGCAAUGUUCUGGCGGCGACCGGCGGAAGGGUGCGUAACGCGUGAGCGACAUGCCCGUUGCCCGGGGACAACCGGUGGAAACGCCGACUAAUCCCCGAUGGGACGGAGGCCCUCAUGGGUCUCCGUUGAAAGUUACGGCGGCGACGGAUUGGCUCGCGUCCGAUUAGCUUGUUGGCGGGGUAACGGCCCACCAAGGCUACGAUCGGUAGGGGUUCUGAGAGGAAGGUCCCCCACAAUGGAACUGAGACACGGUCCAUACUCCUACGGGAGGCAGCAGUGAGGAAUAUUGGUCAAUGGGCGGAAGCCUGAACCAGCCAUGCCGCGUGCGGGAAGGAGGCCCUAUGGGCUGUGAACCGCUUUUGCCUGGGGGCAAUAAGGGCGUCGUGCACGUCCGAUGAGAGUACCAGGCGAAUAAGCAUCGGCUAACUCCGUGCCAGCAGCCGCGGUAAUACGGGGGAUGCGAGCGUUAUCCGGAUUCAUUGGGUUUAAAGGGUGCGUAGGCUGUGCGUCAAGUCAGGGGUGAAAUUCCGGGGCUCAACUCCGGGGCUGCCCUUGAUACUGUCGCGCUGGAGUGCGGAUGCCGCCGGAGGAAUGAGUGGUGUAGCGGUGAAAUGCUUAGAUAUCACUCAGAACACCGAUUGCGAAGGCAUCUGGCGAAUCCGUAACUGACGCUGAGGCACGAAAGCGUGGGGAUAGAACAGGAUUAGAUACCCUGGUAUUCCACGCCGUAAACGAUGAUGGCUAACCGCCGGCGACACACUGUCGGUGGCCAAGCGAAAGCGAUAAGCCAUCCACCUGGGGAGUACGUCGGCAACGAUGCAACUCAAAGGAAUUGACGG
rnacentral:rRNA from 1 species